GGUUAAACCCAAGGAUCUUUUUCAGAGGGUAUGAGAAAGCUUUAAAAUUUAAAAGGAGAAAGAUUUAUAGUAAAACGGUGAGAUUUGAUUGUUUAUUCAAUAUGAGAAUUUAUGAAAUAACUGAUAAUAUUUCGUCAUGAUCAGUUUUUUAAAGUUAUUUGUCUCUAUUUAAGGAUAACAAAGCUGAUGUAAUUUUAAAAUACAAUGCAGACGAAGCUAGAAGUCUGAAGGCAUAUGGCGAGCUUCCAGAGCAUGCUAAAAUCAAUGAAACUGAUACAUUUGGUCCUGGAGAUGAUGAUGAAAUUCAGUUUGAUGACAUUGGAGAUGAUGAUGAAGAUAUUGAUGACAUCUAAAUUGAACUCAACAUUUUACAUUCCAUCUUUUCUGAAGAUUGUCCUACAAUUUGGAUUUUGACCAUGACAAAGAAGAUUAAAAUUUCAUUAGCAUGAAUGCAAUUUGUUAAAGCAGACUGAUUUGUUUCUAAGAUAUUUUUGGUUUUUUUAAAACUGAUAAUAAUGCUGAAUUAUAUUAAGUGAGAUGUUAAGCCCACUUUGUUCUUUUAAUGUAAUGGAGCUUAUGGGUAGAAGACCAUGUCUACUAAUUACAGAAAAAAAAAAAAAAUGCAUUGCUGCUUUUCCUAC
rnacentral:sRNA from 1 species